UACAGAGGUCUCAAGCGUUGUUCGGAUUCAUUGGGCGUAAAGGGUGCGUAGGUGGCGCUGUAAGUCGGGUGUGAAAUUUCGGAGCUUAACUCCGAAACUGCAUUCGAUACUGCCGUGCUUGAGGACUGGAGAGGAGACUGGAAUUUACGGUGUAGCGGUGAAAUGCGUAGAUAUCGUAAGGAAGACCAGUGGCGAAGGCGGGUCUCUGGACAGUUCCUGACGCUGAGUCACGAAGGCCAGGGGAGCAAACGGG
rnacentral:rRNA from 1 species